rnacentral:lncRNA from 1 species
CCUGGCCCUCGUGGCACCCGCAUCUUUGCUUGGGCCAGCGGACCUGUCUCCUAUUAACUGAGCCAGGCCUCAGGAAUCCAGGGGGUGCUGGGGGGAGGGGAGGGGUGUUCAGGCUCUGGGUUCCAUCUGGACCCUCCAGAGCUGGCAGCUAUGGCCCAGAGGCUGCAAGAGCUCUGUAGCUGGACCUUGGUCCCUGAUGAGCACUGCGAGGGGCUGGGGGAGGGGGCUGGAGCCAGGCAGUCCAGCCCUGAGCCCUGGGACAGCUCACACCGUGGCUGCUGUCAUGCCCUUUCACCAGGCACCAGCUGGGGGUUGCCCUUGGGACACACCCGAGGCUAGGGGUGACCUGAGCUCUCCAGCCCUCUUGUUCCCGAUUGGAGGAGAGAGUAGGAAACGAGCUGGGAUAGGCCGUCAGAGCCCCACCUCCACAGGCCUGCUGAGCUGAAAGGCCAGGCUCCACGCUGGCCCACCCCAGCGUCGGGCACCGAAACCUGAACCAUGGGGGUCAGGGAGCCGGCCCUCUGAGCAGGGCUGUGGGCAACCAGCCAGGCCCAAGUCGGACCUUGGCUCCUCUGAUCCUGCUGGCUGGGAGAAAAGCCAUCGGGAGCCCUGGACAGCCGGCCCCCAGGCCUCUCACCGUGCACGUCUCUGUUCCGCUGCCACAACAGCCUCCCCGUGCGCAGGCCUGCCCCUCUGGCCCCCAGGCCGGGGCACAGGUUAACAUGGGCCUGGCCCCAGGCAGAGCCAGCCCCUGCCCGCCCCCUGGCAAGGGAGUCCAAGUGGCAGCCCUGGUGGCAGGUGGACCUUGGGCAGCUGCCCCACCCCCCACACUAAAUUUAACCAGCAGCCAGCCCUGGCCCGCCCACAGCCCUGUGAGGACACCCUUCCAACCAGGGAUGCUAGGGGAAGGGCAGGCCCAAAGGACACUGGGCUGACGGGCCCGUGCUGAGCCAGGAGGGAGAACAGCCCAAACCCACACCACCCAGCACUGGUGGCCACACAAAGCCGCCCACCAUGAACAGACGAACCAGCGGUGCCCUCAGCCCUCCUGCUUGAGGCCCCUAAGGGGCCCCCUCACCCUGACACAUUGUGCCAAGCCAGCUCAGAGCCAGAGUGGCCAACUGCGUGUCCCCUAUGCCAGCCCAGGCGGAAGCUGGCAGCCAGGCCCCAGGAUUAAGGCUGCGUGCCAGGAACUGGGGACCCACAACCCCCCCAGGGAGCUUCUGACACAGCCUUGUGCUUGUUUUGCCCCUCUGGCUCUGACACAAGAGUCUUGUGGAAAACACCACCUCCCUUUCCAAGCCAUGGUCCCUGGGACCCCCACCUUCCGCCCCUCAGCACAGACACCCUAGGCCCUGGCCCCCAUGGAGGCUCCUUCAAAGCACCUGGCUCCUCUCAGGAGAGCAAAGGGUUACGGAGGAGGCUCCAGGAGGCUGAGCAUGGGAGGGAGUGGGUGAGGCCCAGGCUUCCAGCCCAGUGGCUGUGAGCCUCACUCCCACACAGCCAGGGCUGCCACAUGCCCCAGCGCGCACCUACAGGCUUUCAUGCUCACAGGCACGGGUGGCACCCCAGCCAAACAGCACAACCCACUCCCCACUGUGGGACAGCGACCCAGCUGAGACACACAACACACAACGAGGCUCCAUGGCAAAACAGCCCUUUAUCAAGAGUUGCAGGAUAAAAAUAGUCUUUGCAGCCAGACAUCCCUCCAGGCAUGUCUUCUGAC